UUCUUCCUUAACCGGGGGGAGGCAGCAAGUAGGGGAAUCUUCCCGCUCUAUGGACCGAAAGGUUCUGACGGAGCAACGCCGCGUGAGUGAUGAAAGGUUUUCGGAUCGUAAAAACUCUGUUGUUAGGGAAGAACAAGUGCCGUUCGAAAAGGGCGGCACCUUGACGGUACCUAACGAGAAAAGCCACGGCUAACUACGUGCCAGCAGCCGCGGUAAUACGUAGGUGGCAAGCGUUGUCCGGAAUUAUUGGGCGUAAAGCGCGCGCAGGCGGUCUCUUAAGUCUGAUGUGAAAGCCCCCGGCUCAACCGGGGAGGGUCAUUGGAAACUGGGAGACUUGAGUACAGAAGAGGAGAGUGGAAUUCCACGUGUAGCGGUGAAAUGCGUAGAGAUGUGGAGGAACACCAGUGGCGAAGGCGACUCUCUGGUCUGUAACUGACGCUGAGGCGCGAAAGCGUGGGGAGCAAACAGGAUUAGAUACCCUGGUAGUCCACGCCGUAAACGAUGAGUGCUAGGUGUUAGGGGUUUCGACGCCCUUAGUGCCGAAGUUAACACAUUAAGCACUCCGCCUGGGGAGUACGACCGCAAGGUUGAAACUCAAAGGAAUUGACGGGGGCCCGCACAAGCAGUGGAGCAUGUGGUUUAAUUCGAAGCAACGCGAAGAACCUUACCAGGUCUUGACAUCCUUUGACCACCCUAGAGAUAGGGCUUUCCCCUUCGGGGGACAAAGUGACAGGUGGUGCAUGGUUGUCGUCAGCUCGUGUCGUGAGAUGUUGGGUUAAGUCCCGCAACGAGCGCAACCCUUGACCUUAGUUGCCAGCAUUCAGUUGGGCACUCUAAGGUGACUGCCGGUGACAAACCGGAGGAAGGUGGGGAUGACGUCAAAUCAUCAUGCCCCCUUAUGACCUGGGCUACACACGUGCUACAAUGGAUGGUACAAAAGGGGUUGCGAAGCCGCUGAGGUGAAAGCCAAAUCCCAGGAAAAGCCAAUUCUCAGGUUCGGAUUGCAGGCUGCAAACUCCGCCUUGCAUGAAGGCCGGGAAGUUGCCUAGUAGUCCGCGGAUCAGCAAUGCUCGCGGACUGGUAGUACGAUUUCCCGGGGCCCGUUGCUACAC
rnacentral:rRNA from 1 species